CUGGCUCAGGAUGAACGCUAGCGGGAGGCCUAACACAUGCAAGCCGAGCGGUAUUUGUUCUUCGGGACAGAGAGAGCGGCGUACGGGUGCGGAACACGUGUGCAACCUGCCUUUAUCAGGGGGAUAGCCUUUCGAAAGGAAGAUUAAUACCCCAUAAUAUAUUGAUUGGCAUCAAUUAAUAUUGAAAACUCCGGUGGAUAGAGAUGGGCACGCGCAAGAUUAGAUAGUUGGUGAGGUAACGGCUCACCAAGUCAGUGAUCUUAGGGGGCCGAGAGGGUGAUCCCCCACACUGGUACUGAGACACGGACCAGACUCCUACGGGAGGCAGCAGUGAGGAAUAUUGGACAAUGGGUGAGAGCCUGAUCCAGCCAUCCCGCGUGAAGGACGACGGUUCUAUGGAUUGUAAACUUCUUUUAUACUGGGAUAAACCUACCCUCGUGAGGGUAGCUGAAGGUACAGUAUGAAUAAGCACCGGCUAACUCCGUGCCAGCAGCCGCGGUAAUACGGAGGGUGCAAGCGUUAUCCGGAUUUAUUGGGUUUAAAGGGUCCGUAGGCGGAUCUGUAAGUCAGUGGUGAAAUCUCAUAGCUUAACUAUGAAACUGCCAUUGAUACUGCAGGUCUUGAGUAAAGUAGAAGUGGCUGGAAUAAGUAGUGUAGCGGUGAAAUGCAUAGAUAUUACUUAGAACACCAAUUGCGAAGGCAGGUCACUAUGUUUUAACUGACGCUGAUGACGAAAGCGUGGGGAGCGAACAGGAUUAGAUACCCUGGUAGUCCACGCCGUAAACGAUGCUAACUCGUUUUUGGGUUUUCGGAUUCAGAGACUAAGCGAAAGUGAUAAGUUAGCCACCUGGGGAGUACGUUCGCAAGAAUGAAACUCAAAGGAAUUGACGGGGGCCCGCACAAGCGGUGGAUUAUGUGGUUUAAUUCGAUGAUACGCGAGGAACCUUACCAAGGCUUAAAUGGGAAUUGACAGGUUUAGAAAUAGACUUUUCUUCGGACAAUUUUCAAGGUGCUGCAUGGUUGUCGUCAGCUCGUGCCGUGAGGUGUUAGGUUAAGUCCUGCAACGAGCGCAACCCCUGUCACUAGUUGCCAUCAUUCAGUUGGGGACUCUAGUGAGACUGCCUACGCAAGUAGAGAGGAAGGUGGGGAUGACGUCAAAUCAUCACGGCCCUUACGCCUUGGGCCACACACGUAAUACAAUGGCCAGUACAGAGGGCAGCUACCAGGCGACUGGAUGCGAAUCUCGAAAGCUGGUCUCAGUUCGGAUUGGAGUCUGCAACUCGACUCUAUGAAGCUGGAAUCGCUAGUAAUCGCGCAUCAGCCAUGGCGCGGUGAAUACGUUCCCGGGCCUUGUACACACCGCCCGUCAAGCCAUGGAAGUCUGGGGUACCUGAAGUCGGUGACC
rnacentral:rRNA from 1 species